ensembl:lncRNA
UAAGAUUUCAAGUUUCUCUGUGCAAAAGUAAAUGAGAAAAAUCUCAAAGAGAUGCCAGCAGUGCUACACAAUUGUCUGCCCACAGCUUCUGUUUGGUCAGGCUUGAGGCAAUGAGCAUCCUAUGGAAAUAGAAACCAAGUGAUCCAAUGUGUAAAAAUCUGCCUUGGUCUGAGUGAACUGGCUUGAACUUUGUCAGGAAAAGAAAGACUCGUGAGGUCUUGUGCAACCCACGUUUCUGUGCUCUUCAGUAAAAAUGCCUCACAACAUCUAAUGACAUAACGAUCCACGUCAAGACCAGGACCUUCCGACGACCUCCUCCACCACGUGUGAGCUCAGCUGUACCUGGCACAGGCAUCUUCCCUGCAGCUGGGCAGCUCAGAGAGGGAUCUGUUACCUUUGACAUUCCCCAGCAGUGCUGCAGGUCACAGGCGCUGAGAGUCACCAGCUUUCCUGGAACAGAUCUCCACCCCAAACUCCACCAAUUGAGUCACAUUCACAGCUUUCUGGCAGGUCUGACUCUCCCAGGCUGACCUGUAGGUUGAAAUACUUUUCCCAGCCAGAAUUUCUCAUUUGAUCUUCUGAGCAGAGAGCAUCAGUUUUCAGCAUAAAUUAAUGUUGCUCAGCAAGACCAAAAAAAAAAAGCAACCUGCUCUCCAGCAGGAAAAAAACAGACCUGCUCAGCACCUGCCAGCCACCCCUUAGAGUUAGAUAGAAUCCCCCGCUCCAGCUUGCGCUGAAACUAUCAGCAGCUGAUAGAUUACAGUUGUCUCUAAACCUGCAGGCUGGGUUUAGUGGCUUUCCUUCAUUUAAAGAGUUCAGCCAUUGACUGCAGCAACAAGUCUGACGAAGGAGAAAAUAGCAAGCCAUUAGCUGCCUGAGCAGAGACUUCCUGCCCGGAGGACAUGGGGAGAAGGAAGGCUCUAAGUGGAUCCUCUGCAGCAGAAAAUCUCGUUUAGAAUAAUAACCCAAAGUUGUGUCUCCUGAGAGGCUGUGCAUAUGCUGGAGGUCUUUGCUGCAUCUUCAUCAGCCUUUCUACAUCCUUGAAACUAUACACACAGCUGGGAUGGGAUGUACCUGGCACAGUAUCAUCUCUACACCUGUGGCCCUGGGCUCCUCAGAGUGAUGGGAGAAAGGAACAGUUGUCUUUGUUUUGAGGUACCCCACAGCCCACGUUAGGAUGCAGUGUGUCACUUCCCACGUGCACCUCAAGUGGUCAAAAGGAAAG